rnacentral:rRNA from 1 species
UGCUGCAUAUCAAUAAGCGGAGGAAAAGAAACCAACCGGGAUUGCCUUAGUAACGGCGAGUGAAGCGGCAAAAGCUCAAAUUUGAAAUCUGGUACCUUCGGUGCCCGAGUUGUAAUUUGGAGAGGGCAACUUUGGGGCCGUUCCUUGUCUAUGUUCCUUGGAACAGGACGUCAUAGAGGGUGAGAAUCCCGUGUGGCGAGGAGUGCGGUUCUUUGUAAAGUGCCUUCGAAGAGUCGAGUUGUUUGGGAAUGCAGCUCUAAGUGGGUGGUAAAUUCCAUCUAAAGCUAAAUAUUGGCGAGAGACCGAUAGCGAACAAGUACAGUGAUGGAAAGAUGAAAAGAACUUUGAAAAGAGAGUGAAAAAGUACGUGAAAUUGUUGAAAGGGAAGGGCAUUUGAUCAGACAUGGUGUUUUGUGCCCUCUGCUCCUUGUGGGUAGGGGAAUCUCGCAUUUCACUGGGCCAGCAUCAGUUUUGGUGGCAGGAUAAAUCCAUAGGAAUGUAGCUUGCCUCGGUAAGUAUUAUAGCCUGUGGGAAUACUGCCAGCUGGGACUGAGGACUGCGACGUAGUCAAGAAGUUGCAUCGGCAGA